rnacentral:rRNA from 1 species
GAUGAACGCUGGCGGCGUGCCUAAUACAUGCAAGUCGAGCGAACGGACGAGAAGCUUGCUUCUCUGAUGUUAGCGGCGGACGGGUGAGUAACACGUGGAUAACCUACCUAUAAGACUGGGAUAACUUCGGGAAACCGGAGCUAAUACCGGAUAAUAUUUUGAACCGCAUGGUUCAAAAGUGAAAGAUGGUCUUGCUGUCACUUAUAGAUGGAUCCGCGCUGCAUUAGCUAGUUGGUAAGGUAACGGCUUACCAAGGCAACGAUGCAUAGCCGACCUGAGAGGGUGAUCGGCCACAUUGGAACUGAGACACGGUCCAGACUCCUACGGGAGGCAGCAGUAGGGAAUCUUCCGCAAUGGGCGAAAGCCUGACGGAGCAACGCCGCGUGAGUGAUGAAGGUCUUCGGAUCGUAAAACUCUGUUAUUAGGGAAGAACAUAUGUGUAAGUAACUGUGCACAUCUUGACGGUACCUAAUCAGAAAGCCACGGCUAACUACGUG